rnacentral:rRNA from 1 species
UACGUAGGGAGCAAGCGUUGUCCGGAAUCAUUGGGCGUAAAGCGCGCGUAGGUGGCCUCAUAAGUCCGCUGUGAAAGUCAAAGGCUCAACCUUUGAAAGCCGGUGGAUACUGUGAGGCUAGAGUACGGAAGAGGCGAGUGGAAUUCCUGGUGUAGCGGUGGAAUGCGCAGAUAUCAGGAGGAACACCGAUGGCGAAGGCAGGUCUCUGGGCCGCAACUGACGCUGAGGAGCGAAAGCAUGGGGAGCGAACAGG